rnacentral:misc_RNA from 1 species
AAGUCGUAACAAGGUUUCCGUAGGUGAACCUGCGGAAGGAUCAUUAUUUGAUCUAAAUCGGAGGUAUUUGCAAAAAUAUCGCCGUUUUGCUUUGUGAACUGUUUUUUUGUACUGUUGUAAUUUUUUUAAAAAGUUGUUGUUUUCUUCGGAAAACAGAAAUUAAAGACAACUUUCAGCAAUGGAUCUCUUGGCUCUU